CAGGAAUGCUAGAGGGAUUUAAAUGAAAUGACUGGAUCUGCACCUCCCAGACAAACAACUGGAUCACAUUAGCCUUAAAUAUUGUACAUGCUGAGCUGUUUCCUUUAUGCAGUGGAUUUUCUGCUCUGGGCAAUGAACAUAUCUGGGACUCUGUUCCUGACUAUUUUCCUUCAAAGAAACAUUUGCACUUCUUCAUUUUCCCCUGCGAGCAACCCAUGCUGUGGCCUACUGCAUUCUACAGCAUUCAUACUCCAUACAGGAUGAGAGAAACAAGCUAUGCACACUCUGCUUUCGCUUUCCCUAUACAAAAUCAACUAUGUGAAGAGGAGGCACUUUGAUAAUCAUGGAGGCGCUACGAGAAGAAAAGCUGCAUCCUGAAGAAAGAAAUGGUCAGUGUUUUCAGUCAACUUAAUCUGGAAAGCAAAGUUGUGAGAUGAAUAAAAAACUUGAAACCUGGCUGCUUGUGAAGAGAACAGGGCCCACAGUGAUGCUGUGUGCUGGAGAUACAGAGACUGUGAGAAGAGAGAGGAAAUUGCAAGCUACAGUAAGGUGAAAUAUUUUGACCUAUGAGGUUUUAGAUAAGAAGCCAUUCAAUCUGUGUUUAGAGGAAGGAGUCUUGAGAUCAGACAAAAAAUCUAAGGGGGUUAUAUUGCAUUUGCUGGCAUGGCUUUUACUGCAAAGUGGGUCUUUUUAGAUACCUCAUGAAAUUAAAUUUCCACAGUUGUUCAAAACAAGCACUCCCAACUUCUGUGCCACUAAGCCACACACAAACAUGUUUCAUGGCGUCAGCAAAAAGAAGGGGGCUUCCAAUGGCAGCUUACCUGGAAGUAGGCUUUGUAGUAGCAGGAGGAACCACAAGGACCAGCCAGCACUAUGACUGUG